GCUUGCUGGGUGGAUUAGUGGCGAACGGGUGAGUAACACGUGAGUAACCUGCCCUUAACUCUGGGAUAAGCCUGGGAAACUGGGUCUAAUACCGGAUAGGAGCGUCCACCGCAUGGUGGGUGUUGGAAAGAUUUAUCGGUUUUGGAUGGACUCGCGGCCUAUCAGCUUGUUGGUGAGGUAAUGGCUCACCAAGGCGACGACGGGUAGCCGGCCUGAGAGGGUGACCGGCCACACUGGGACUGAGACACGGCCCAGACUCCUACGGGAGGCAGCAGUGGGGAAUAUUGCACAAUGGGCGCAAGCCUGAUGCAGCGACGCCGCGUGAGGGAUGACGGCCUUCGGGUUGUAAACCUCUUUCAGUAGGGAAGAAGCGAAAGUGACGGUACCUGCAGAAGAAGCACCGGCUAACUACGUGCCAGCAGCCGCGGUAAUACGUAGGGUGCGAGCGUUAUCCGGAAUUAUUGGGCGUAAAGAGCUCGUAGGCGGUUUGUCGCGUCUGUCGUGAAAGUCCGGGGCUUAACCCCGGAUCUGCGGUGGGUACGGGCAGACUAGAGUGCAGUAGGGGAGACUGGAAUUCCUGGUGUAGCGGUGGAAUGCGCAGAUAUCAGGAGGAACACCGAUGGCGAAGGCAGGUCUCUGGGCUGUAACUGACGCUGAGGAGCGAAAGCAUGGGGAGCGAACAGGAUUAGAUACCCUGGUAGUCCAUGCCGUAAACGUGGCA
rnacentral:rRNA from 1 species